rnacentral:lncRNA from 1 species
UCCGCAUCUGACAGGCGCACCACCAAACGUUGUAUUCAGGACUAAAAUGCUAUAUACACGGGUCAUAACCACAGGGUUGACACUACUAAAUUGUAAAAUUGUUACCUAUUGUAGUAUUUUAAUCAGUAAGACUUUCUAAGAUAACAAUUGAAUACUAAAAAUCUGGACUAAAAAUAAGGCGUAUAGGUACAGUUUUCAAUUUGUUAGUGGGCAUGACGUAAAAACAGCAAAGCAAAGAAUUCAACUUUAUUUAUAACUUAUAUAGGAC